UGAUCAUGGACAUACACCUCCCACC
rnacentral:piRNA from 1 species